rnacentral:lncRNA from 1 species
CCAUACUCAAAUAGUCGCAGAAGGUCGUAGUACUGGCCGUGUAUGUCACCGCAGAUCUUGAGGGGUGCCUCCAGCUCCAGAAGAAUGGGCUGGCUCAGAAAAAUCUCCCGGGAUUUCAGGCACAGACCGCGGAUCUCGUUCUCUGUCAGCUGUACAUUCUUGCCAGGCCGCGAGCCCUGCACUUCCAGCAGGCGCCCGAUGAUCGAGUCCAGGUUGAGCUUCUCGCUGUCGGACAUGGCGGCGCCGCCGCUCCAGCCCAGCAGCUCCUGGCCCGCUCCUGCCUCCCGCCCUCCG